UACGAAGGGGGCUAGCGUUGUUCGGAAUCACUGGGCGUAAAGCGCACGUAGGCGGAUUUUAAGUCAGGGGUGAAAUCCCGAGGCUCAACCUCGGAACUGCCUUUGAUACUGAGGAUCUGGAGUCCGGGAGAGGUGAGCGGAACUGCGAGUGUAGAGGUGAAAUUCGUAGAUAUUCGGCAAGAACACCAGUGGCGAAGGCGGACUCACUGGCCCGGAACUGACGCUGACGGUGCGGAAAGCGUGGGGAGCAA
rnacentral:rRNA from 1 species